GAAGAAGAAGAGUGACGCUGUGUUGCUCCAGGGUGCAUGUGCGCUCUUUAAAACUGAAACAGCAUCAUUUCUAGACGGACAACAGCGAGCAGAACAGGAAAAUAAAUCCACACACACGCAUCGAUAACGAUGGAAGUAAAAGAGAAACCUCAGGAUGUGGAGGAGAGGAAACAGGAACCUCAUGAUGUCAUCACUGAAGAAAAAUCUGACUCCAAUCAACAUGGAAAGAGUUCACAAAAAGGACAACAUAGUGAUGACACAAGCAUUAACAAUGAAGAGACACGUCACACGUGCAAGGAUUGUGGAAAAAGUUUUAAAUACGUUAAAGGCUUUAAGAAACAUUUGAAAACUCACAUUGGAGAGACGCGGUUCAAAUGCCAUCAUUGUGAAAAGAGUUUUACACGUGCAAAUGGGUUAAAAAUACAUUUGAGAACUCACCCUGAAGAGACGCUGUACAAAUGCCAUCAUUGCGAAAAGAGUUUCACACAUGCAAAUAAUUUUUAUAUACAUUUGAGAACUCACCCUAUAGAGAUGCCGUACAAUUGCCCUACUUGUAAAAAGGGAUUUACAUACAGCGAUAACUUUGAGAAACAUUUAAGAAUUCACUCUGAAGAGACGUCGUACAAAUGCCCUCAUUGUAAAAAGAGUUUUAUACAUGCAAAAAACUAUUAUAUACAUUUGAGAACUCACCCUGUAAAGAUGUUGUACAAAUGCCAUGAUUGCAAAAAGAGUUUUACACGUGCAAGUAGCUAUAAGAGACAUUUGAUAACUCACACAGGAGAGAUGCCAUACAAAUGCCUUCAUUGCAAAAAGGACUUUACAACCAUGGAUAACUUUAAGAAACAUUUGGAAACUCACACUGGAGAGAUGCCAUACAAAUGCCCUCAUUGCCAAAAGGACUUUACAACCAUGGAUAACUUUAAGAAACAUUUGAUAACUCACACUGGAGAGAUGCCAUACAAAUGCCCUCAUUGCGAAAAGGGUUUUACGCGUGCAAAUAGCUAUAGGAGACAUUUAAUAACUCACACUGGAGAGAUGCCAUACAAAUGCCCUCAUUGCGAAAAGGACUUUACAACCAUGGAUAACUUUAAGAAACAUUUGAUAACUCACACUGGAGAGAUGCCAUACAAAUGCCCUCAUUGCGAAAAGGACUUUACAACCAUGGAUAACUUUAAGAAACAUUUGAUAACUCACACUGGAGAGAUGCCAUACAAAUGCCCUCAUUGCGAAAAGGGUUUUACACGUGCAAGUAGCUAUAAGAGACAUUUGAUAACUCACACAGGAGAGAAGCCAUACAAAUGCCCUCAUUGCGAAAAGGGUUUUACGCAUGCAAAUAGCUAUAAGAGACAUUUGAUAACUCACACAGGAGAGAAACCAUACACCUGUCUUCAGUGUGGGAAGAGUUUUACACGGCAAGGGACACUUAAGAUCCAUGAACGUAUUCACACUGGAGAAAAGCCUUACACCUGUCCUCAAUGUGGAAAGAGUUUUACAAUAAAAGGACUUCUUAAGAGUCACAUAACAGUACACACUAGAGAAAAGCCUUACACCUGUCCUCAAUGUGAAAAGAGUUUUACAAAGAGAGCACAUCUUAGAAGUCAUAUACAAAUUCACGUCAAUGACAGACCUUACACCUGUCCUCAGUGUGGAAAGGGUUUUUUCCGAAAAUUCAUACUGGAAAACCAUUUGAGAAUUCAUACAGGAGAGAAACCUUUCGCGUGUUCUGUUUGUGGAAAGAGUUUUGCACUGCUGGAUUAUUUGAGAAAACACCAGAUAACACAUACUGAUGAGAAAACUCAUGUGUGCUCUGUGUGUGUGAAAGCCUUUUCGACAUCCAGAGCCUUGACAAAGCACCAGAGAGUUCAUACAAGAGAAAACCCAUAAACAUGAGAUUUACAUUACUUUAAGACACACAAGAGAGUUCAUACUGGAGAGGAACCGUAUCACUGCCCUCAAUGUAGAAAGAGUUUCACCUCAUCGAUGGGUUCAAUGAAUCAUACAAAAUCAUGUUGCUGAAAGUAGUCACCAAUCUUAUCCUCAUGUUCAAAAUUCUGAAGUACUUCAGGCUGCAUUUUACAACCAUUACACCAUUUUUAUAUAUUCUUUCUAUACUUUUGCCGUUGAUCCCACAAGUAUAUGAUUUCCUUUUUUGCUGAAGGAGAGCAGAGUAUUUUUUAACAUUAUGCAAAUCUUAUAGUUUAUUAAACUCUUACAACAUGUAUAUUAAUUUCAAGCGUAACCUCUUUAGUGACUAAAUAACUUGGUUGAGUGAAAGGAUAGGUGUAAGAAAUGCAUUGUAGAGAUAUUUCGUGAAAAUGUUUUGAGUUUACUAAAUAAGAAUAUUAUUCACACACCUGUCUAUAAGACAUUUAUUGAUUUUGUUUGUUUGAAAUGGAGCUUCAUUAUGUUCGAGUGAUUGUUGGUAAAAUAUGAAUGAAUUUCAUUUUGAGUGAACUAUUCCUUUCAUUGUUAAAUCGCAUGAAACAUUGCAAUUGUAUUUGGUGGGGGGGGGGUAGGGAAUGUGUUUAUAAUGAAUUAUGAUGUUAAGUUUUAGUCAGUUAAUUUUACAUAAAAAGACUAUUUGAAUUAGACGCGUCUACCUAGUAAAUUUUUUUAUAAUUUUACAAAUCUAUAGGCUAUGUCAUGAAUUAAGAGUCUGAUUAAAUGAAGUCAAUGUCUGGUACUUAGUUAAAAUAAAAGUAAGCUUCUGUUCUUUACAUGACUUGUACUUCUCUUAUAUGUUUCUGCUGUCUCCUCAUGUUUACACAGUUUAUUAUAAAUGAGUUAAUAAAAUCUUUCAAAUCAA